AGUAGUAGAAAGUGGAAAUGGUAAACUACAGUUCCAACUGAAACUGAAAUAUCAACCAAUCAAUCCCCUUCCACUACAGCUGUCUGGUGGUGCUAUGAGUGGCAAAGCAUUUCUUCUCUCCCACUACAGCUUUUCUCCUCCCAAUAUACCUCGAACAAAUUUCAAUGUUCAUAAUUCAUUUUACCAUACUAGUGAAAGUGGAAGUGGAAGAGGAAGAGGAAGAGGUCGAUUUGGAUAUGGGCAAAGAGAGUUAUUAUUAGUUAAGAGGAAUAGUAGUAGUCGGAAGUUGUGGGCUGAUGUCAAGUCAAAACCCUUCAAAAUUGCAGAGGAUGAUGCUUUAUUGAGAAAGAAAGAAGAUGGAGAUAACUCAGUGGGUCUACCGCAAGAGUUUCCAAAGCGUUGGGUUAUUGUCAUUCUUUGUUUCUCCGCUUUUCUUCUUUGUAAUAUGGAUAGAGUUAAUAUGAGUAUCGCUAUACUUCCCAUGGCAUCCGAAUAUAACUGGACUCCUAUUACUGUUGGUUUAAUACAAUCUUCAUUUUUCUGGGGUUAUCUUCUUACUCAGAUAGCAGGAGGUAUAUGGGCAGACACUGUUGGUGGCAAGGCUGUCUUGGGAUUUGGAGUAAUCUGGUGGUCUGUUGCUACAGUUCUCACCCCCAUUGCUGCUAAGCUUGGAUUGCCCUUUUUAUUUGUUGUUCGAGCUUUCAUGGGAAUUGGUGAGGGUGUUGCUAUGCCAGCAAUGAAUAACAUUCUCUCUAAAUGGGUUCCUGUAUCAGAAAGAAGUAGAUCUCUCGCACUCGUCUAUAGUGGAAUGUAUCUUGGAUCUGUUACUGGAUUAGCAUUUUCCCCAUUCCUCAUAAAACAAUUUGGCUGGCCUUCUGUCUUCUUUUCUUUUGGUUCUGUAGGAACUGUCUGGUUUGCAGUAUGGCUCAAUAAGGCAUACAGUUCACCCCUGGAUGAUCCUACGCUACGGCCUGAAGAAAAGAAGCUUAUUCUUUGUAGCAGUGUUUCCAAGGAACCUGUUAAAUCAAUCCCUUGGAAAUUGAUUCUGUCAAAGCCACCAGUAUGGGCCUUGAUAGUGUCUCACUUCUGUCACAACUGGGGGACAUUUAUUCUUCUUACAUGGAUGCCAACAUAUUAUCACCAGGUAUUAAAGUUUAAUCUUACAGAAUCGGGACUUUUUGCGGUCUUGCCAUGGCUCACAAUGGCAGCCACUGCAAAUGUUGGUGGGUGGAUUGCAGAUUCACUGGUGAGGAGAGGCACAUCAGUGACUGUUGUCAGAAAGAUCAUGCAAACAAUAGGAUUUCUUGGACCUGCUUUCUUUUUAACCCAGUUGAGCCGUGUUGACUCUCCAGCAAUGGCAGUUCUCUGUAUGGCAUGCAGUCAGGGAAGUGAUGCUUUUUCACAAUCUGGUUUGUAUUCAAACCAUCAGGAUAUUGCUCCACGGUAUUCUGGUGUACUCCUUGGACUAUCCAAUACUGCUGGGGUUCUAGCUGGUGUUUUUGGCACAGCAGCAACUGGUUACAUCUUGCAACAUGCUGAUCAACAGACUUUAACAACCACUGUCUUGUUAUCAUGGUUUGCAAGAGCAUUAGCUUGGCAAUGUAGGAGCUAAAAAAAUGGUCUUUACCUCGUCGCAAUGUCAGUAACGCUUUCCACUCUUGGGGGAGGCCUUAUUUGCAGUUCUUGGGAUGAUGUGUUUAAAGUUUCAGUUGGGCUUUACUUGGUUGGAACAGUAGUUUGGAAUGCCUUUUCAACUGGUGAGAAGAUCAUUGAUUGACACUUGGAGACAGCAAACUUAAGCCCUUGGUGUUAUAGUGGAUAUGCAUGUGGUGCAAUCAGGAAGGCGUGAUUGAUUAAGAAUUGGAGAUGAAAAGAGAUUUAGUUGAGAAUAGAAUAGGCAGGAGUAUCUUUGGCAGUAAAUCAGAAAAUGAGGGAACAGAUGUCUUUGACACUGGAUUGAUUUAAACAAGGAGACUCCCAAGAUUUCCACGAAGAUACCAGAGUAUUGUUGGAGUUUGAUUGAACAACCAAAUGAACAAGGAUACAUGAUUGACAUAGCUUGUAAAUCUGUGUAAAGUUACUAAUCCAAUCCCUGCAGACUGCAGUAAUAUAGGUAAAACAGUUUUAAUAUCUUAUUAAUGUUUUGUAAGAAUUAAGGGCUCUUAUUAGUAUUUAAUUGCACUGACAAACUUGUGUUCA